CCUACGGGGUGCAGCAGUGAGGAAUAUUGGUCAAUGGCCGCAGGGCUGAACCAGCCAAGUCGCGUGAGGGAUGACGGUCCCAUGGAUUGUAAACCUCUUUUGUCAGGGAGCAAAGGGCGCCACGUGUGGCGCUUUGCGAGUACCUGAAGAAAAAGCAUCGGCUAACUCCGUGCCCGCAGCCGCGGUAAUACGGAGGAUGCGAGCGUUAUCCGGAUUUAUUGGGUUUAAAGGGUGCGCAGGCGGAAUGUCAAGUCAGCGGUAAAAUUUCGGGGCUCAACCCCGUCGUGCCGUUGAAACUGGCGUUCUUGAGUGGGCGAGAAGUAUGCGGAAUGCGUGGUGUAGCGGUGAAAUGCAUAGAUAUCACGCAGAACUCCGAUUGCGAAGGCAGCAUACCGGCGCUCAACUGACGCUCAUGCACGAAAGCGUGGGUAUCGAACAGGAUUAGAUACCCGGGUAGUC
rnacentral:rRNA from 1 species